UAUUCCUACGGGGGGCAGCAGUGAGGAAUAUUGGUCAAUGGGCGGAAGCCUGAACCAGCCAAGUCGCGUGAGGGAAUAAGGCCCUACGGGUCGUAAACCUCUUUUGCCGGGGAGCAAGGGCGGGGACGUGUCCCGGCCCGGAGAGUACCCGGAGAAAAAGCAUCGGCUAACUCCGUGCCAGCAGCCGCGGUAAUACGGAGGAUGCGAGCGUUAUCCGGAUUUAUUGGGUUUAAAGGGUGCGUAGGCGGCCUUUUAAGUCAGCGGUGAAAGUCUGUGGCUCAACCAUAGAAUUGCCGUUGAAACUG
rnacentral:rRNA from 1 species